AGCAGCCGCGGUAAUUCCAGCUCCAAUAGCGUAUAUUAAAGUUGUUGCAGUUAAAAAGCUCGUAGUUGAAUUUUGGGUCUGGCCGGGCGGUCCGCCCUCCGGGCGAGCACUGUUCCGACGCCGGGCCUAUCCUUCUGGAGAGUCGGCAUGUCCUUUAUUGGGUGUGCCGGGGAACCAGGACCAUUACCUUGAAAAAAUUAGAGUGUUCAAAGCAGGCGUAUGCUCGGAUACAUUAGCAUGGAAUAAUGAAAUAGGACGCGUGGUGCUAUUUUGUUGGUUUCUAGAACCGCCGUAAUGAUUAAUAGGGAUAGUUGGGGGCAUUAGUAUUCAAUUGUCAGAGGUGAAAUUCUUGGAUUUAUUGAAGACUAACUUCUGCGAAAGCAUUUGCCAAGGAUGUUUUCAUUAAUCAAGAACGAAAGUUAGGGGAUCGAAGACGAUCAGAUACCGUCG
rnacentral:rRNA from 1 species